CCCCUCCCAGGGUCGCAACUGGUGAGUUUCCAGUACUCUACCAGUCUCGACUAUGGGAGGAAAAGUCAAGAAGAGGCGUAGCCAUUCCAUUCCUAGCUCGGGUAGCGACUGGUGAGUGGAAGGCAAUCUGCUACAAGU